rnacentral:rRNA from 1 species
GGGUGAGUAAUACUUAGGAAUCUGCCCAGUAGUGGGGGACAACUCGGGGAAACUCGAGCUAAUACCGCAUACGACCUACGGGUGAAAGCAGGGGAUCUUCGGACCUUGCGCUAUUGGAUGAGCCUAAGUCGGAUUAGCUUGUUGGUGAGGUAAAGGCUCACCAAGGCGACGAUCCGUAGCUGGUCUGAGAGGACGAUCAGCCACACUGGGACUGAGACACGGCCCAGACUCCUACGGGAGGCAGCAGUGGGGAAUAUUGGACAAUGGGGGCAACCCUGAUCCAGCAAUGCCGCGUGUGUGAAGAAGGCCUGCGGGUUGUAAAGCACUUUCAGUAGAGAAGAAAAGCUUAACGUUAAUACCGUUGAGUCUUGACGUAACCUACAGAAGAAGCACCGGCUAACUCCGUGCCAGCAGCCGCGGUAAUACGGAGGGUGCAAGCCGUUAAUCGGAAUUACUGGGCCGUAAAGCGCCGCGUAGGCCGGCUUUGU